UCCCACCAAAGGACACUCGCUCCGGGGAACCAGGAAGCAGGAACUCCCGGGCUCUGGUCCCAGAUCCGCCGCCAGUGCCCCCACGCGUGCCCUCCCCGGCGUUGGUCCUUUCGGUCGUUAUCGUCUGUCCCUACCACGAGUGUAAAGCUCAUGGGGAGAGGACCCUCGGUGUGAAGUCCGUGUGGCACGGGGAGACACCUCUUGGGCUCAGUAACUCAAUGACUAUUUAUCCGACAUAUAUUUGAUGUCACCCAGAUGCUGUGAAAACAAAAAUUAAAAUAAGACCUCAAAGAGCUCAGCUUUAGCUGGGAACACUCCGUACGUAGAAGAGCAUUGCCACAAGGUGGGGAUCUGGGUUUGAAACGAACGUGCCAGUCAGUUUAGUCUAGUUGGGCAGAAGGGUGCUGGAAACGCGCUGGGCUCCUUCUCGAAGUGCUGAGAACACACUGGCUCAAAGCAGCGUGUUAUCGCAGACUUCUCUGUCUUUCCCUUUGCUGGGAGGCUGAAACCAAAGGACUUUUGGCUUUUUCCAAAAAUCAGAUCCAACCCUGAGGGAACAUUAUCACUUCACCUUGCAUCACGGUGGUAAUCCAGAUCUUAUCUCCGUAAGCGAACAGAAACUUCUUUGAAGACAGAGUCAGUGUCUGAUUAAUCUUAUCUUUCACCCCCACCAGCUUGGUGCCCAGGAUAGAUAAGCACUUAAUCAAUGCUGAAUAAAUAGAAACCCAAAAAACCACCACAGAGGAGAUUGAAAAGAGAGUACUAUAGAUGGCAAAAUUGUUUCCAAGAGAGAAGUGCUCCAAAGGUGUUUGGAGGGAUGACAGCAUCGCUGGAUGAAGAAUCCCAUCUCGUAAGAUCGCAUAAAUCUUUCGCCUUUUACUAAAGACUAAGACCGUGAAAACAAAGUAGGUCUGCCAAAGUUCAGAUCCUGUCCAAGUCAACAGCUUACCACUGCACGCGGUCCGUUGAGUCCUAGUUAUUGGAAGACUGGGUGCUCUCUACUACUCCUGGCGUCAUGGCUAACUUCUGCCAUGACAUGACAUGACAUUCAAGACCAGCUUGCUGAUACGGUUCUUCUAGCAACUGUGAAGUUUUGCAUAGGGGAUAUGCUGAAGAGAUGGGAAAUACGAAACAAGGAGACAUGAGAACCACAUCUGCUCAGUGUGGCCAGUUACCUAGCCUCCGACAGUCUCAUAACCGGCAACAAAUGAAGAAGCAAAAACACAGGCCACAGCUAACCCAUUUUUUUAACGUAUAUAAAGAACAAUGUUCUGUGA